AAUGAACGCUGGCGGCAGGCCUAACACAUGCAAGUCGAGCGAGCAUUUCGGUGCUAGCGGCGGACGGGUGAGUAACGCGUGGGAACGUGCCCUUUUCUGCGGAAUAGUCCUGGGAAACUGGGGGUAAUACCGCAUACGCCCUUUUGGGGAAAGAUUUAUCGGAGAAGGAUCGGCCCGCGUUGGAUUAGGUAGUUGGUGGGGUAAUGGCCCACCAAGCCGACGAUCCAUAGCUGGUUUGAGAGGAUGAUCAGCCACACUGGGACUGAGACACGGCCCAGACUCCUACGGGAGGCAGCAGUGGGGAAUCUUAGACAAUGGGGGCAACCCUGAUCGAGCCAGGCCGCGUGAGUGAUGAAGGCCUUAGGGUUGUAAAGCUCUUUCAGCUGGGAAGAUAAUGACGGUACCAGCAGAAGAAGCCCCGGCUAACUCCGUG
rnacentral:rRNA from 1 species